AAAGAAGAACCUUAAUCCCCUUCUCUUCAAUCACCAUUGUUGCUCAAGUACAAUCUCUCAAGCACCAUUGUUUCUAAUUCGAAUGUAAGUUUAAUCACCAUUUACGACACUCGCAGCUCGCAACUCAAACGUAUCUGCAACAUUUGUUUUUUAGGAUUUAAAGUUUGCGAAGAUGAAAAAGGGACAUUUCGAUAACAAUGAAGAAGUGAAGUUUUGUUUAAGGUAUGUUUUG
rnacentral:lncRNA from 1 species